UUUAUGGAGAGUUUGAUCCUGGCUCAGGAUGAACGCUGGCGGCGUGCCUAAUACAUGCAAGUCGAGCGAACAGAUAAGGAGCUUGCUCCUUUGACGUUAGCGGCGGACGGGUGAGUAACACGUGGGUAACCUACCUAUAAGACUGGAAUAACUCCGGGAAACCGGGGCUAAUGCCGGAUAACAUGUUGAACCGCAUGGUUCUACAGUGAAAGACGGUCUUGCUGUCACUUAUAGAUGGACCCGCGCCGUAUUAGCUAGUUGGUGGGGUAACGGCCUACCAAGGCGACGAUACGU
rnacentral:rRNA from 1 species